GGGGAUACAGCUCAGUGGUAGAGUACUUCCCUGGCAAGAAUGAGGCCCUGGGUUCAAGCCCAGUAACACAA
rnacentral:tRNA from 1 species